GAUGAAGAACGUAGCGAAAUGCGAUAAGUAAUGUGAAUUGCAGAAUUCAGUGAAUCAUCGAAUCUUUGAACGCACAUUGCGCCCGCCAGUAUUCUGGCGGGCAUGCCUGUUCGAGCGUCAUUUCAACCAUCAAGCCCCCGGCUUGUGUUGGGGACCUGCGGCUGCCGCAGGCCCUGAAAACCAGUGGCGGGCUCGCUAGUCACUCCGAGCGUAGUAAUACAUCUCGCUCAGGGCGUGCUGCGGGUUCCGGCCGUUAAAAAGCCUUAUUUACCCAAGGUUGACCUCGGAUCAGGUAGGAAGACCCGCUGAACUUAAGCAUAACAAUAAGCGGAGGA
rnacentral:misc_RNA from 1 species